GACGAACGCUGGCGGCGUGCCUAAUACAUGCAAGUCGAGCGCAGGAAGUCAUCCGAACCCUUCGGGGGGACGUUGACGGAAUGAGCGGCGGACGGGUGAGAAACACGUAAAGAACCUGCCCUCAGGUCUGGGAUAACCACGAGAAAUCGGGGCUAAUACCGGAUGGGUCAUCGGACCGCAUGGCCCGAGGAUGAAAGGCGCUCCGGCGUCGCCUGGGGAUGGCUUUGCGGUGCAUUAGCUAGUUGGUGGGGUAAUGGCCCACCAAGGCGACGAUGCAUAGCCGACCUGAGAGGGUGGUCGGCCACACUGGGACUGAGACACGGCCCAGACUCCUACGGGAGGCAGCAGUAGGGAAUCUUCCACCAUGGACGAAAGUCUGAUGGAGCAACGCCGCGUGAACGAUGAAGGCCCUCGGGUCGUAAAGUUCUGUUGUAAGGGAAGAACAAGUGCCGCAGGCAAUGGCGGCACCUUGACGGUACCUUGCGAGAAAGCCACGGCUAACUACGUG
rnacentral:rRNA from 1 species